rnacentral:rRNA from 1 species
AGCGAUACGAUUUUAUGUAUGGUAAUACCUGCCCUGUGAUUUUAACGGAACGUAGCAUAAUAAUUUGUCUCUUUAUUGGGGACUGGAAUGAAUGGUAGAACGGGGUUAAACUGUCUUUUAUAAUGAAUGAUAAUUUUUUUUCUAGGUGAAAAAACCUUGAGGCUGGAUUAGGACGAGAAGACCCUGUAGAGUUUUAUAGGACGUGCUAUGCAUAACUAUUUUGUUGGGGCAACAAGAGAGCAAUAAAACUCUCUAUAUUCAAGAUUAGGGUACUAAUUUAGUUUGAUCUCAAAGAACUUAUAAAUAAACUACCUCAGGGAUAACAGCGUAAUUCUUCCAGAGAGAUCUAAUCGAAGGAAGAGCUUGCGACCUCGAUGUUGGACUAAGGUUAAGAAAGGUGCAGAAUUCUUUCCUACAAGCCUGUUCGGCUUAUACCCUUACAUG